CUGAGAGCGUGGAGCCUGCUUGGGGUUCUCUUUCUCUGCCCCUCCCCCACUCGUGCACGCCUGCUCGCUCUCAAAAUAAACCUAAAAACUAUAUCAAACCUCAUUUGGCACUUUUUGAAAUAACUUAUGGCUUCAGUGUUCCUGCCGGUAGUAACCUCUCUGCUCCUCUAAGUUUGCAGUUCCUGCUGUGUUUACGAAUGUGAUGGUGUGAUAACUCGUGUUGUUCUGAGUACGCUCUAGAAGUGCCCGUGACAUGUUUGUGACCUGUUUGGCUGUUCAGAUACAAAUUGCACAUUUUUCUUAUAACCGUAUGCUCGAUAGCUGGGUUUCAGAGAGUUAUGCAUUUGCUAUUUCUAGAGGGAAAAGAGUGGUCUUCUUUGUCUAGCCUCACAAAUCCUGUUCAAAAAGUCAUGGCAAACAUCACAUUCAUGGAUAGAAUGACCGUCUGUUUAUGAUCACUCAAGAGGUAGUAUUCUACUUAUUACUUGAACCAGUUUCUGGGAAGGUGUCAAAAGCACUUGAAAAUAAAAGCUUUUCCCACAUGAAGUCUAAAUCCAGAAUCUUUGAAGAUGAAUCUUUUAUCGCCACAAAUAAGUUCCUCAGAGUCUUAAUCAAAUUGUAAAUUUAUGCAUAGUAAAAAAUUUCAUACAAUACUAGCUGUGGUAGUCUGACUUUGUAAUUGCCUGCCUUCUCUCGAAAUGGUUUUUAAGUAUUAUCCCUUUGCAUCCAUUUAUUUACCUGUCCUAAGAACCCUGACAGAUUUCUGUCCAAUCGUUUGCUUUGCAUUUUUGCACACGUUGCCUUCAGUCUUUUGGGGCAUCCUGUCACCCAUCCGUGCCAGGAAACCGUUAGAAUGACUUCCUUCACUUUCUCUACAGAUGUGGAAGCAGAGGCCCAGCCUUCCUCUAAGCCCAUGAUCAAGGUUCUCAUAUAUUUGCAGACUGUGUUGUCACAAAGUAAAACAUUAUUUUGAGGAAAUUAUGCAACAGAACUGAGAAAAGUUAGUUAUAAAUAGACUUGUCAUUGGAUACCAUGAAUUUCAAAGCAUGAUAGGAAAACUGAUGAAUAUGGAAUAUGUGGCUAAUCUACCAUCUUGCCACAAAUUCCUGGGAAAUAUGGAAACGGAACACUGCUAUUGGUUGCUCUGUCAUCUAAAAAAAA